GAUUUGGANAUGCCCGCAGGGUGAUCCAGCCAUGCCGCGUGCAGGAAGACGGCCCUAUGGGUUGUAAACUGCUUUUAUACAAGAGAAAACCUCCCUACGUGUAGGGAGCUGAUAGUAUUGUAGGAAUAAGCAUCGGCUAACUUCGUGCCAGCAGCCGCGGUAAGACGAAGGAUGCAAGCGUUAUCCGGAUUCAUUGGGUUUAAAGGGAGCGUAGGCGGUCUUAUAAGUCAGUGGUGAAAGCUCCUCGCUUAACGAGGAAAUUGCCAUUGAUACUGUAGGACUUGAGUACAGUUGCUGUGGGCGGAAUAUGACAUGUAGUGGUGAAAUACAUAGAGAUGUCAUAGAACACCGAUUGCGAAGGCAGCUCACAAAACUGUAACUGACGCUGAGGCUCGAAAGUGCGGGGAUCAAACAGGAUUAGAUACCCUGGUAGUCCGCACUGUAAACGAUGAUUACUCGCUGCUGGAGGGUAACUUUCAGUGGCUUAGCGAAAGCGAUAAGUAAUCCACCUGGGGAGUACGCCGGCAACGGUGAAACUCAAAAAAAUUGACGGA
rnacentral:rRNA from 1 species